rnacentral:rRNA from 1 species
UGGGGGAUAUUGCACAAUGGAGGAAACUCUGAUGCAGCGACGUCGCGUGAGGGAAGAAGGUCUUCGGAUUGUAAACCUUUGUCUUUGGGGACGAAAAAAAUGACGGUACCCAAGGAGGAAGCCACGGCUAACUACGUGCCAGCAGCCGCGGUAAUACGUAGGUGGCAAGCGUUGUCCGGAAUUAUUGGGUGUAAAGGGUGCGUAGGCGGGAAUAUAAGUCGGAUGUGAAAUACCCGGGCUCAACUCGGGAGCUGCAUUCGAAACUAUAUUUCUUGAGUGAAGUAGAGGCAAGCGGAAUUCCUAGUGUAGCGGUGAAAUGCGUAGAUAUUAGGAGGAACACCAGUGGCGAAGGCGGCUUGCUGGGCUUUUACUGACGCUGAGGCACGAAAGCAUGGGGAGCAAACAGG